rnacentral:rRNA from 1 species
GACAAUACUGACGCUGAGAUGCGAAGCGUGGGGAGCAAACAGGAUUAGAUACCUGGUAGUCCACGCUGUAAACGAUGUCGACUUGGAGUUUGGGGGCAUGACCCUUGGGCUCCGGAGCUAACGCGUUAAAUCGACCGCUGGGGAGUACGGCCGCAAGGUUAAAACUCAAAUGAAUUGACGGGGGCCCGCACAAGCGGUGGAGCAUGUGGUUUAAUUCGAUGCAACGCGAAGAACCUUACCUGGUCUUGACAUCCAUAGAAUCUUUCAGAGAUGAGAGAGUGCCUUCGGGAGCUAUGAGACAGGUGCUGCAUGGCUGUCGUCAGCUCGUGUUGUGAAAUGUUGGGUUAAGUCCCGCAACGAGCGCAACCCCUAUCCUUUGUUGCCAGCACGUAAUGGUGGGAACUCAAAGGAGACUGCCGUUGAUAAAGCGGAGGAAGGUGGGGACGACGUCAAGUCAUCAUGGCCCUUACGACCAGGGCUACACACGUGCUACAAUGGCGUAUACAAAGGGAUGCGAAGGUGCGAACUGGAGCGGACCUCACAAAGUACGUCUAAGUCCGGAUUGGAGUCUGCAACUCGACUCCAUGAAGUCGGAAUCGCUAGUAAUCGUGAAUCAGAAUGUCACGGUGAAUACGUUCCCGGGCCUUGUACACACCGCCCGUCACACCAUGGGAGUGGGUUGCACCAGAAGUAGAUAGCUUAACCUUCGGGAGGGCGUUUACCACGGUGUGGUUCAUGACUGGGGUGAAGUCGUAACAAGGUAACCA